GAUGAACGCUGGCGGCAUGCCUAAUACAUGCAAGUCGAGCGAACAGAUGAGGAGCUUGCUCCUCUGACGUUAGCGGCGGACGGGUGAGUAACACGUGGAUAACCUACCUAUAAGACUGGGAUAACUUCGGGAAACCGGAGCUAAUACCGGAUAAUAUAUUGAACCGCAUGGUUCAAUAGUGAAAGACGGUUUUGCUGUCACUUAUAGAUGGAUCCGCGCCGCAUUAGCUAGUUGGUAAGGUAACGGCUUACCAAGGCAACGAUGCGUAGCCGACCUGAGAGGGUGAUCGGCCACACUGGAACUGAGACACGGUCCAGACUCCUACGGGAGGCAGCAGUAGGGAAUCUUACGCAAUGGGCGAAAGCCUGACGGAGCAAAGCCGCGUGAGUGAUGAAGGUCUUCGGAUCGUAAAACUCUGUUAUUAGGGAAGAACAAAUGUGUAAGUAACUAUGCACGUCUUGACGGUACCUAAUCAGAAAGCCACGGCUAACUACGUG
rnacentral:rRNA from 1 species